rnacentral:rRNA from 1 species
GACGAACGCUGGCGGCGUGGAUUAGGCAUGCAAGUCGAACGGUAUCAUCCUUUCGGGGGUGAGAGAGUGGCGAACUGGUGAGUAACACGUAGGUUAUCUACCCUCAAGACGGGGACAACCCAGGGAAACUUGGGCUAAUACCGGAUGUGAGCAACUUUUAGUGUUUGAAAGGUGGCGUAAGCUGUCGCUUGGGGAUGAGCCUGCGUCCUAUUAGUUAGUUGGUGAGGUAACGGCUCACCUAGGCAAUGAUAGGUAGGCGGCCUUAACGGGUGGUCGCCCACACUGGGAUUGAGAUACGGCCCAGACUCCUACGGGAGGCAGCAGUCGAGAAUAGUCUACAAUGGUCGGAAGACUGAUAGUGCGACGCCGCGUGAACGAUGAAUCCCUUCGGGUGUAAAGUUCUUUUAUAUGUGAGCAGUGCUUCUUAUAUUAACAGUAUGGGGAGAGAGAUAUUAGCAUAUGAAUAAGCAACGGCUAACUCCGUGCCAGCAGCCGCGGUAAACUCGU